AUAUUGUCAAUUUCUUGUACAAAAUCUGAUUGUAUCCGAACUUUUUUCAACUUUAUUUACGAAUAUGUUUGGUAGUUGUGAAAAUGAUGAAAUUAUGGGAACUCCAGCGGAGAUUUUAGAAAAAGUUCGAGCUGCCACACAUAAUUUGUUAUCGCUGUUACCAUAGAAAGGUAACGAAAUUACCCAUCAAAAAUUUAUGGAUUGGGACACAAGCAUAACGUUUCGGAGAAUGUUUUACUGGCGUAUUUUAAAGAAAUAUCAAAAACUAUGAAGCGAUCUUCUCUAUGGGCCAUUUAUUCGAUGCUAAGAACUACACUAAACAUUAAUAAUAACAUUAACAUGGCAAAUUAUCCAAAACUAAUCGCCCUACUGAAGCGGAAAUCGGAUGGUUUUAGAAGUUAAAAAUCUUUCUACAGAACAAAUUAAUAAGUUUCUGAAAGUUGCCCCAGACGAUAAACAUUUAUUGUCAAAGGUUAUCCUCAUUAUUGUAUUAAGCGGGGCUUGCCGGUGACAAGAACUUGAAAAUAUAAAAUUCAUGACACUGGAAAAUCCUUGAUAAUUGAUAUUCCAUAUUCUAAAAUUAAAAUGAGCCAUUCAUUGGUAGUACCAGAAACGUUUUAUAUUAAAUACAUGAAUUUGUGUCCUACUGAAAUGGAAAAUGGAAAAUGCAUAAAACAGGUUGUGGGGGUAAAUACAAUCGGUAAUAUACCACGUAAAAUUGCUGAAUAUCUUGAGCUGUCGGAACCAAAGCAAUAUACUGGCCAUUGUUUCAGGAGAUGCUCAGCCACUAUGUUAGUUGAUCCAGGAGGUGAUAUGCUAUCAUUAAAACGACUUGGUAGCUGGCAAUCUUCUACAGUAGCGGAAGGCUAUGUGAAUCAAUCUCUUAAAAAUAUCGGAGGCAGUUACCAAUUAUCAAUCUUCGUCUUCUGAUGUACCGAGCAGUACUACAAUUAUAAAUAACCGUUCAUCGCCAUUAAAUAAUAAGCCACAAUCGAUUUACAAUAAUUGUUCAAUUGUUAUUAACAACUAUUAUAAUAAAAUUUAAAUAAU